rnacentral:misc_RNA from 1 species
CAACCCUCAAGCUCUGCUUGGUGUUGGGGCACUACGGUUGACGUAGGCCCUGAAAAUUAGUGGCGGGCUCGCUGUGGGUCCGGGCGUAGUAGCGAUAUCUCGCCUGCGGCCCCCAGCAAGCUCCAGCCGUUAAACCCCCCAAAUUACAGAA